rnacentral:rRNA from 1 species
AUUCCAGCUCCAAUAGCGUAUAUUUAAGUUGUUGCAGUUAAAAAGCUCGUAGUUGGAUUUCGGGCCCAGGUGACCGGUCCGCCGUUUCGGUGUGCACUGGUUAGCUCGGUCUUUCUGCCGGGGACACGCUCCGUCUUAAUUGCCGGACGUGGAGUCGGCGAUGUUACUUUGAAAAAAUUAGAGUGUUCAAAGCAGGCUUACGCUCUGAAUACUAUAGCAUGGAAUAACACGAUAGGACUCCGAGCCUAUUUUGUUGGUCUUCGGGACCGGAGUAAUGAUUAAGAGGGACAGUUGGGGGCAUUCGUAUUACGGUGUCAGAGGUGAAAUUCUUGGAUUUCCGUAAGACGAACUUCUGCGAAAGCAUUUGCCAAGGAUGUUUUCAUCA